CCUACGGGAGGCAGCAGUGGGGAAUAUUGCACAAUGGGGGAAACCCUGAUGCAGCGACGCCGCGUGAGUGAAGAAGUAUUUCGGUAUGUAAAGCUCUGUCAGCAGGGAAGAAAAUGACGGUACCUGAGUAAGAAGCCCCGGCUAACUACGUGCCAGCAGCCGCGGUAAUACGUAGGGGGCAAGCGUUAUCCGGAUUUACUGGGGGUAAAGGGAGCGUAGACGGCAGUGCAAGACUGGAGUGAAAGGCGGGGGCUCAAACCCCGGACUGAUCUGGAAACUGUACGGCUGGAGCGCAGG
rnacentral:rRNA from 1 species